AUUGAACGCUGGCGGGAGGCCUAACACAUGCAAGUCGAACGAGUGGCGGACGGGUGAGUAAUGUCUGGGAAACUGCCUGGUGGAGGGGGAUAACUACUGGAAAGGGUGGCUAAUACCGCAUACCAUCAGAUGUGCCCAGAUGGGAUUAGCUAGUUGGUGGGGGAACGGCUCACCAAGGCGACGAUCCCUAGCUGGUUUGAGAGGAUGACCAGCCACACUGGAACUGAGAAACGUUCCAGCCUCCUACGGGAGGCAGCAGUGGGGAAUAUUGGACAAUGGGGGAAAGCCUGAUGCAGCCAUGCCGCGUGUAUGAAGAAGGCCUUCGGGUUGUAAAGUACUUUCAGCGGGGAAGCGGUACCCGCAGAAGAAGCACCGGCUAACUCCGUGCCAGCCGCCGCGGUAAUUC
rnacentral:rRNA from 1 species